rnacentral:rRNA from 1 species
GAUGAACGCUGGCGGCGUGCCUAAUACAUGCAAGUCGAGCGAACAGACGAGGAGCUUGCUCCUCUGACGUUAGCGGCGGACGGGUGAGUAACACGUGGAUAACCUACCUAUAAGACUGGGAUAACUUCGGGAAACCGGAGCUAAUACCGGAUAAUAUAUUGAACCGCAUGGUUCAAUAGUGAAAGACGGUUUUGCUGUCACUUAUAGAUGGAUCCGCGCCGCAUUAGCCAGUUGGUAAGGUAACGGCUUACCAAGGCAACGAUGCGUAGCCGACCUGAGAGGGUGAUCGGCCACACUGGAACUGAGACACGGUCCAGACUCCUACGGGAGGCAGCAGUAGGGAAUCUGCCGCAAUGGGCGAAAGCCUGACGGAGCAACGCCGCGUGAGUGAUGAAGGUCUUCGGAUCGUAAAACUCUGUUAUUAGGGAAGAACAAAUGUGUAAGUAACUAUGCACGUCUUGACGGUACCUAAUCAGAAAGCCACGGCUAACUACGU